CCUAAUAGUUUGUUAGCAAUACACUGAUUACGCUAACCUCGUUCAUGCGGUCAUGGUGUAUUUUAGGCCCCCACACCACCAGCCUCCCAACUUUGAUUGCCUGAUGCACUUUCCUUGCCUUCCACAUGAGGGCGCCCAAGCACCAUUUUAGCUCCCGACCUGCAGGUACUGGAGUCGAAAAGAGAAGGAGGGAUGACCAUUAUGCCUUGAUCUGCGGACGUUCCUCCUCUUCUCUGCUUCCAGCUUCUUCAGAACUCCUUUUACAUGAAGACUUUGAACACGCCAAAACACGAAAGAUAUCAUCAAACAUCACGAGAGUCUAGAAGGAAGUGCGGGAGCGAGAGGAGCGCCGGGCAUGCCGCCAUGAGAGGAGAGAGGGGGAAGGCUGCGAUUGGCUGGCAAACCCGUUCAGGGUGGA